GCGUUGUUCGGAUUCACUGGGCGUAAAGGGUGCGUAGGCGGUAAGGCAAGUCGGAUGUGAAAUCUCCGGGCUUAACCCGGAAAUGGCAUUGGAAACUACCUUGCUAGAGAGUUGGAGGGGGGACUGGAAUUCUUGGUGUAGCAGUGAAAUGCGUAGAUAUCAAGAGGAACACCAGUGGCGAAGGCGAGUCCCUGGACAACUUCUGACGCUGAGGCACGAAAGCUAG
rnacentral:rRNA from 1 species